CUCUCUCUCUCUCUCUCUCUCUCAAAAAUUACAAGGUUCUCUCUGUUGUUCUGUAGUAAUUUGGGGUCUGUUUCAUCUGUAGCUCAGACGAUUGAUAUAUAUAUAUAUAUAUAUAUAUAUAUAUAUAUAUAUAUAUAUACAGAGAGAGAAAAUAGGUGUUUGCAGGGAGGAGAAGGGAAAGAGAGAGAGAGAAAGCAUGGGUUGUUUUCCAUGCGCUGGAAAUUCAGACAAAAGACUCGGCAGGGAUAAAACGCAGACCAACAAUCGUAACAGACGAGACGAUCGAGCACAAUCCACCUCAGAGAAAUUGAAGUCAGGUCCACAUAAAUGUGAGAACCCUAAAGCUGUAGAUCAAUCUUCUGCCGCAAAGGAGUUGGAUGUGAGGAAGGAGGAGGUAUCUGAGAAUGGAGGGACUGAGGGUUUCAAGGCAAGGCCAUUUACUUUUGCUCAAUUGGUGGCUGCAACUGAAAACUUCAAAUCAGAGUACUUUUUAGGAGAGGGAGGCUUUGGCAAAGUUCACAGAGGGAAAUUGGUGGAUACAGGCCAGAUUGUAGCUAUCAAGCAACUCGACCGUAAUGGAAUGCAGGGGAUUAGAGAAUUCGUUGUUGAAGUGGUGACGCUAAGUCUUGCCGAUCACCCUAAUCUUGUUAAACUAAUUGGUUAUUGUGCAGAGGGAGAACAAAGGUUGUUGGUGUACGAAUUCAUGCCGUUAGGAUCUUUGGAAGACCAUUUGCAUGGACCCCGGCCUAAUAUGAGACGACUUGAUUGGAAUACUAGAAUGAAGAUAGCAGCUGGUGCAGCAAAGGGUUUAGAAUAUUUGCACGACAAGAUGAAGCCACCUGUUAUAUAUCGUGAUUUGAAGUGCUCUAACAUUCUGCUUGACGAGGGCUUCCUUCCCAAGCUGUCUGAUUUUGGCUUGGCCAAAGUGGGUCCGGUUGGAGAUAAGACUCAUGUUUCUACCAGAGUGAUGGGAACAUAUGGAUAUUGUGCUCCAGAUUAUGCGAUGACCGGUCAGUUGACGUUUAAAUCAGAUAUUUACAGUUUUGGGGUUGUUCUUUUGGAGAUCAUCACUGGGAGGAAAGCAAUCGAUGAAAAAAGAGCCGGUACUGAGCAAAACUUGGUUGCAUGGGCACGACCAUUGUUCAAAGACCGCAAGAAAUUUCCACAAAUGGCAGACCCAGACCUCGAAGGCCAGUAUCCCAUGAGAGGAUUGUACCAAGCUCUUGCCAUAGCCGCAAUGUGUGUCCAGGAGCACCCUAACAUGCGCCCUCUCAUUGCUGACAUUGUUACUGCUCUGAAUUACCUUGCUUCCCAAACAUACGAUCCCCUUAACCCUUCACCCCAAACCUCUAGAAGGGCGGCAUCGUCAAAAAAGGACUGCGAGGAGGGACCCGAUGCGAGUAAUGGGCCCCGGGGAAUCAAGCCAGAGGACUAAUUUUCAAAAGGCGUUCAACACAUUUUGGAUUUGGUCUGAUAGGAAUAUGUGCCUGGAUCCUGCAGACAUUCAGAGAGCAUCAGAAUUCAGAUCGUUGCAGCACGAAAAGGUUGAGCUUUACAUCAAGGGCAAAAUCUCCUUACGUUAGGGUAAAGUGCUGGUCCUUCAAAGGAGCUAUCAAUGUAUUUCAUCAAAUCAAGACUCUCUCCUCGGACUUCAUUAUCAUGUUCCAGUGAAGGCACCUAAUAAGUUUGAAAAGGACAAAAAGGAAAAGAAACUACAGAUAUCAGAAACCAAAAGAUGAGGAUGUCAACAGAUUUGGCGAUUAUUGCCUCUUAAGAUAGAUGUACGUUUUUUUUCUGCGAUUCUAAGAAUACAACGAGGAACAUCAAAAUGACCUACAAAUCUUCUGUGGUUUCUUAGUGGCCUGCUUGGGUCAGAUUCUAUUCGAUAACUUAUUUUCUUC